rnacentral:rRNA from 1 species
ACACUCCUACGGGAGGCAGCAGUGGGGAAUUUUGGACAAUGGGCGAAAGCCUGAUCCAGCAAUGCCGCGUGAGUGAAGAAGGCCUUCGGGUUGUAAAGCUCUUUUGUCAGGGAAGAAACGGUGAAAGCUAAUAUCUUUUGCUAAUGACGGUACCUGAAGAAUAAGCACCGGCUAACUACGUGCCAGCAGCCGCGGUAAUACGUAGGGUGCAAGCGUUAAUCGGAAUUACUGGGCGUAAAGCGUGCGCAGGCGGUUUUGUAAGUCUGAUGUGAAAUCCCCGGGCUCAACCUGGGAAUUGCAUUGGAGACUGCAAGGCUAGAAUCUGGCAGAGGGGGGUAGAAUUCCACGUGUAGCAGUGAAAUGCGUAGAUAUGUGGAGGAACACCGAUGGCGAAGGCAGCCCCCUGGGUCAAGAUUGACGCUCAUGCACGAAAGCGUGGGGAGCAAACAGGAUUAGAUACCCGGGUAGUCCA